CCUACGGGAGACAGCAGUGAGGAAUAUUGGCCAAUGGACGAGAGUCUGAACCAGCCAAGUAGCGUGAAGGAUGACUGCCCUAUGGGUUGUAAACUUCUUUUAUAUGGGAAUAAAAUGUUCCACGUGUGGGAUUUUGUAUGUACCAUAUGAAUAAGGAUCGGCUAACUCCGUGCCAGCAGCCGCGGUAAUACGGAGGAUCCGAGCGUUAUCCGGAUUUAUUGGGUUUAAAGGGAGCGUAGGGGGAUUGUUAAGUCAGUUGUGAAAGUUUGCAGCUCAACCGUAAAAGUGCAGUUGAAACUGGCAGUCUUGAGUACAGUAGAGGUGGGCGGAAUUCGUGGUGUAGCGGUGAAAUGCUUAGAUAUCACGAAGAACUCCGAUUGCGAAGGCAGUUCACUGGACUGCAACUGACACUGAGGCUCGAAAGUGUGGGUAUCAAACAGGAUUAGAUACCCGAGUAGUC
rnacentral:rRNA from 1 species